UACGAAGGGGGCUAGCGUUGUUCGGAAUUACUGGGCGUAAAGCGCGCGCAGGCGGUCUUCCAAGUCAGUGGUGAAAGCCCGGAGCUCAACUCCGGAAAUGCCAUUGAAACUGUAAGACUUGAGGAUGAGAGAGGUGAGUGGAAUUCCCAGUGUAGAGGUGAAAUUCGUAGAUAUUGGGAAGAACACCGGUGGCGAAGGCGGCUCACUGGCUCAUUUCUGACGCUCAGGCGCGACAGCGUGGGGAUCAAACAGG
rnacentral:rRNA from 1 species